UGCUGCAUGUGCGAUUUGACUUGUGUGUCUGCUACAUCACAUACAACAGUUGUUUUACAGCUUUAUUGCAUUUUCUCUUUUUCUCCCCCUCUAAUUCUCAUCGUCAUUUCCAAUCUCUUCAGAAAUUCUCUAAAAAAUCUCUCUCUCCUCCUUUCUUACCGAGAAGCUGUAUCAUGCCAAACAGAUACCGCCGUCCGCCGGCGACAGCAGCACCAGCACCAGCACCACCCUCUCCCUCCUCUUCCCCUUCGUUCUCUCACGUCAAACCUAGGUCAGCGUUGUUGGGCUCAAGAUCUAAAAUUUCUCUCAAUCUUCGUUCUCUCAUGUCAGUCAGCAGCUAUAACCCAGCGACUUCUUCCGCCGCUAGCCACCACCGCCACCCCCAUCAAAUUCUACAAAAAUCCCUAAAUUCUCUCAUUUUCUUGCUAGCAACUGCCUCCUGCCGGUGUCACCAUCGUUCGCCGGUGACAGCAGCAGCACCAUCGCGCUCUCCUUCCUCUCCUGUUUUGUCUCACAGCCGCGCUCAGCCAGACGCCGCCGUGUUGCCUCCGCCAUUUUGCUUGUGACCAAUUCUUUGAGGAAUUUUUAAACAUCUACUAAGCAAGUAGAUCUAUACAACAAGCUUUCAAUCAUGAGCAUACAGUGGUUGUUGAUCUUUGUUUGAUAUGCUGCACAGUUAGAAUGAAAAAAAAUGGGUUCGUUUGGUCUUCCUGCUUUUUUAUGUAUAGCUCAGUACAGAAAAAGAAUCUACAAGAUAAGAAUCAGAUCAAUAUAUACACUAUAUUUUGGUAUCAAUUUUCUUCAAACAUUUUCAUUUAAUUUGUUUUUAUUACUUUUUCUCAUAUAUUUUUUUCAGUUUUCACAGAAUCUGGGAUGAACUCGGAGAAGAACUGGAGAGAUCUCCGAAAAUCUGUUGAAAGGUAUCUGCUUCAAAUGAGGCUGUUUCUAGAAGUGUGAAGUCGGUGUUCAAAGCUCGGGUGCAGCAGCUUAACUCUUUAGAGUUUUGGGAUUUCCAAGCUCCAUUGAAGAAGUCAGUUGGGCCUCCGAGAAGAUCACCUCUAGAUGGGCUCGGUAACGGGAGGUCCUUCAGCCGGCUGUUAACGAUGGUGGGGAGGGCUGACCUGUAGUGGCGGUUGUAGCAUUAUCGUGUUCCAGCAGGAUCGCGGAUGGCAAAAGUUCCUCCCAAAAUUUCUCCCGCGCUUUUGGUGAAAAUCUUAAUGGGGAAGACGAUCACCCUAAAGGUGGAGUCGUCUAACACCAUAGACAACAUCAAGACUAAGAUCCAGGUAGAUCCGAUGAAGAACAAAAUACAGGUAAUAUAAUAUUUUUCUUCGCGUAUGUAUUUAUAAUAGUUGAUUUUCUGACUUUAAGCUAACCUUGGUAUACUUUUUCUUACAGUGACUUUAUAUGCUAUUAGAUCCGAUGAAGAACAAAUUCAUUAGAAAAAUUAUAGAUCCGAUGAAGAACAAAAAGUUCUUUUAGGAUUUUUCUUUUUUGUGAAAAUCAUAGAAAUUGUCGGCAUCUGCAUUUUCUUCUCUAUUUUUUCUGAUGAUACCUACUAUAUUUUGAAUUUUAUAUGCUAUCCGGAUCCGAGCAAAGAGCAAUUCUUACUGUGCCGACGAAGAGGCAAAGCUGAGAACAGAGAACAGGUGAAGGAGCAGAACUAAAAAUACACAAGGAUGGAGAACAGAGAGAACAAGUGAAAGAACAAAUUUUUCACUUUUAACUUCACAUUCUUCACUUUUGUUUUAACAGAGAUAACAUGUAAAUUUGAUUUUAACUUUACAUUUUUCACUUUUCUUCUUCUUUUUCCUUAAUAUGCAUUCAUUAGUGCGCUAACCUUUUGUUGUUGCUUGAUGGAAGUAGGUUCUGUGUGUGUGGUUCUUUAUAAUUGUGUACAUAAAAUUACAUAUAGGUAUCCCAUAUAAUGAAGUAAAACCUUUCAGUUAUAUGAGGGGAUGAGGGCGUUGGUGAGGUGUCUCAUUACUGCAAGUUAGCAUUUUUUAUAACCUUUUUGGCUUAAAAUUUCUUGAUAAUUUUGGGGUUUUCUUCAUUGAGGGAAUUGUGCUUUGUUUCUUACAAAUUCGUUGCUUUUAACAGAGUUUGGAGUAACAGCUAAUUUGUUUCACUCAGUAAAUUGUUUCAUGUU